CAAAGACUUGGUCCUAACCUUACUGUUACUUUUUGCUAAACUUACACAUGCAAGUAUCAGCAUACCAGUGAAAACACCCCAACAAUCCCACCAGACAAAAGGAGUUGAUAUCAGGCACACCACGAUAGCCCAAGACAUCUAGCCCCCUGCCACACCCCCAAGGGAACCCCCAGCAGUGAUAAAAAUUAAGCAAAUAAGCGCAAGCUUGACUUAGCUAUAGCAAAGAGGGUUGGUCAAUCUUGUGCCAGCCACCGCGGCUAUACAAGAAACCCAAACCAACAGAAAACCGGCGUAAAAUGUGACUAAAACAACUAUCCAAAAAAUUAAGAAUAACCCUGUAUUCAGCUGUCAUACGCAAAAACACACGGCCACCCAACAUGAAAAUAACCUUAAUUAUAACAGAACUAUUCGAACUCACGAUCGCUAAGACACAAACUGGGAUUAGAUACCCCACUAUGCUUAGCCCUAAACCUAGAUAUUUAACAUACAAAAAUAUCCGCCAGAGAACUACGAGCAAACGCCUAAAACUCUAAGGACUUGGCGGUGCCUUAAACCCCCCUAGAGGAGCCUGUUCUAUAAUCGAUAAUCCACGAUCCACCUCACCAUCUCUUGCCAAUACCGUCUAUAUACCACCGUCACCAGCCUACCCUAUGAAGGACAUAAAAGUAGGCAAAAUAGCCAACAACAGCUAAUAAGUCAGGUCAAGGUGUAACUAACUGAGAUGGAAGAAAUGGGCUACAUUUUCUAAACUAGAAAUAACAUCACAGAAAAAACCAUGAAACAGGUUCCAUAAGCAGGAUUUAGCAGUAAAUAGGAACCAGAAUGCCUAAUUUAAGCCGGAUUCAAGGCACGCACACACCGCCCGUCACCCUCCUCAAAUCUUCAACACCUAUCCUAUUAAUAAAACCAUGACAAACAAACAGAUGAGGCAAGUCGUAACAAGGUAAGUAUACCGGAAGGUGUACUUGGAACAUU
rnacentral:ncRNA from 1 species